rnacentral:rRNA from 1 species
GAUGAACGCUGACAGAAUGCUUAACACAUGCAAGUCUACCUGAACUUCGGGUUGGGUGGCGGACGGGUGAGUAACGCGUAAAGAACUUGCCUCACAGUUAGGGACAACAUUUGGAAACGAAUGCUAAUACCUGAUAUUAUGAUUUUAGGGCAUCCUAAAAUUAUGAAAGCUAUAUGCGCUGUAAGAGAGCUUUGCGUACCAUUAGCUAGUUGGAGAGGUAACGGCUCACCAAGGCGAUGAUGGGUAGCCGGCCGGAGAGGGUGAACGGCCCCAAGGGGACUGAGACGCGGCCGUUACUACUCCGGGAGGAAGCAGUGGAGAAUAUUGGACAAUGGACCCACAGUCUGAUAAAGCCAUUCGGUGUGAACGAUGACGUUUUUCGGAAUGUAAAGUGCUUUCAGAUGGGAAGACAAAAAUGACGGACCCAACAGAAGAGGUGCCGCCUACUUCCGU